GGGCCGCUAGCUCAAUGGCAGAGCACCGGACUUUUAAUCCGAUGAUCAGGGUUCGAUUCCCUGGCGGCCUACCA
rnacentral:tRNA from 1 species